UCCCUGCGCCCUGCCCGAGCCGCCGCAGCGAUGAAUUCCGCCGAGCAGACCGUUACGUGGCUCAUCACCCUGGGGGUGCUAGAGUCGCCCAAGAAAACCAUCUCCGACCCGGAGGGCUUUUUGCAGGCGUCGCUGAAGGAUGGGGUGGUCCUCUGCAGGCUGCUGGAGCGCUUGCUCCCCGGGACCAUUGAGAAAGUCUACCCGGAGCCGCGGAGCGAGAGUGAGUGCCUGAGCAACAUCCGCGAGUUCCUGCGUGCCUGCGGGGCCUCCCUGCGCCUGGAGACAUUUGAUGCAAAUGAUUUGUAUCAGGGGCAGAAUUUUAACAAGGUCCUCAGUUCCUUAGUGACUCUAAAUAAAGUAACAGCAGACAUUGGACUAGGGAGCGACUCCGUAUGUGCUCGGCCCUCUUCGCAUCGGAUCAAGUCUUUUGACUCCCUGGGAUCCCAGUCUUCACACAGUCGGACUUCAAAAUUGUUCCAGGGCCAGUACCGAAGUUUGGACAUGACUGAUAACAGCAACCAUCAGCUGGUAGUGAGAGCCAAGUUCAAUUUCCAGCAGACCAAUGAAGAUGAGCUCUCGUUCACGAAGGGUGAUGUCAUCCACGUCACUCGAGUGGAGGAAGGAGGCUGGUGGGAAGGCACGCACAAUGGCAGGACUGGCUGGUUCCCCAGCAACUAUGUGCGUGAGAUCAAGCCAAGUGAGAAACCUGUGUCUCCCAAAUCAGGAACUUUGAAGAGCCCCCCCAAAGGGUUUGACACAACUGCCAUCAACAAGAGCUAUUACAACGUGGUGCUACAGAAUAUUUUAGAAACAGAAAAUGAAUAUUCUAAAGAACUUCAAACCGUGCUUUCAACUUACCUACGGCCAUUGCAGACCAGUGAGAAGUUAAGUUCAGCAAAUACUUCAUAUUUAAUGGGAAAUCUAGAGGAGAUAUGUUCUUUCCAGCAAAUGCUUGUACAGUCUUUAGAAGAAUGCACCAAGUCACCCGAGGCCCAGCAGAGAGUUGGUGGCUGCUUUCUGAACCUGAUGCCACAAAUGAGGACCCUGUACCUUGCCUACUGUGCCAACCACCCAUCUGCUGUGAGCGUCCUUACAGAGCACAGCGAGGACCUGGGGGAGUUCAUGGAGACAAAAGGUGCCAGCAGCCCUGGGAUCCUGGUGCUGACCACUGGCCUCAGCAAACCGUUCAUGCGCCUGGACAAAUACCCCACGCUGCUCAAGGAGCUGGAGAGACACAUGGAGGAUUAUCAUCCUGAUAGACAAGACAUUCAGAGAUCCAUGACUGCCUUCAAAACCCUUGCGGCCCAGUGUCAAGACGUACGAAAAAGGAAAGAGCUUGAGUUGCAGAUCCUGACGGAAGCCAUCCGAAGCUGGGAGGGAGAUGACAUCAAGACCCUGGGCAAUGUCAUUUACAUGUCCCAGGUCAUGAUCCAGUGUGCAGGAAGUGAGGAAAAGAAUGAAAGAUACCUUCUGCUCUUCCCAAACCUUUUGCUAAUGUUGUCUGGCAGUCCCAGGAUGAGUGGUUUCAUCUAUCAGGGAAAGCUACCAACGACAGGAAUGACAAUCACAAAGCUUGAGGACAGUGAAAAUCAUAGGAAUGCGUUUGAAAUAUCAGGGAGCAUGAUCGAGCGGAUACUGGUGUCCUGCAACAACCAGCAGGACCUGCAGGAAUGGGUGGACCAUCUGCAGAAGCAGACGAAGGUCACAUCUGCGGGCAACCCCACCAUCAAGCCCCACUCCGUGCCAUCUCACACUCUCCCCUCGCAUCCCGUCACCCCAUCCAGCAAGCAUGCAGACAGCAAGCCCAUGGCUCUGACACCUGCCUACCACACGCUCCCCCACCCCUCCCACCAUGGUGCCCCGCACACCACCAUCAGCUGGGGGCCCCUGGAGCCUCCAAAGACCCCCAAGCCCUGGAGUCUGAGCUGCCUGCGGCCCGCGCCCCCUCUCCGGCCCUCAGCUGCACUCUGCUACAAGGAGGAUCUUAGUAAGAGUCCCAAGACCAUGAAAAAGCUGCUGCCGAAGCGCAAACCUGAACGGAAGCCUUCAGACGAGGAGUUCGCCUUGCGGAAAAGCACGGCGGCUCUGGAAGAAGAUGCUCAGAUUCUGAAGGUCAUCGAGGCUUACUGCACAAGCGCCAAGACACGGCAGACCCUCAACUCAACAUGGCAAGGCACUGACCUGAUGCAUAAUCACGUCUUGGCUGAUGACGACCAAUCAAGUCUAGACUCCUUGGGUCGUCGCAGUAGCCUUUCUCGUUUGGAGCCCUCAGACCUCUCGGAAGACUCUGAGUAUGACAGUAUAUGGACAGCCCAUAGUUACAGAAUGGGUUCUGCAUCUCGUAAGAGCUGUUGCUCAUAUAUAUCUCACCAGAACUAAUGCACUUCUGAGCUUUUCUUAACCAAUGCUUGUUGUAUCGCAGCCUGCUUUUCUUAGAUGUUUCUUGCUGUUCCUUGUCUCUUUUAUGUGAUAUUUUAACAACUUUUGAGAGUGUUCCUGGUAUUUUCCAUUGUACCUCGUGGAGGCUUAAUUGCCAAUCUGAGUAUGCAUUCAAACUGCUGCCUGUUGAGGAAGAUGGUGGGUUCACAUGAGCCUGUACCAAGGGUGCUUUUCCCAAUGGAGCAUUGUUUUAUACAAACUCAAAAUGUUUUUUUUUUUUUCUCCUUCUGUGUAGCGACUAUUUCAUUUCUUUUUGGAUACAGCUGUAUGGACACUUUUGUAUUUUAUACCAGAACCACACAGGUUUGCGAUCUUAAGUGCCAGCAACACAGAGGAGACUCUGGCCUUAUGUAGGAACUUAGGUUUUUUUAUGUGUAACAUUUGACCAAGUAGCUGUGGCAAGGCACUGAGAGGAGCAUCUGUAAUGAGGCUCCGAGUGCGAGUGAUGCGCGUCAUGCUGCCGUGCAGUGCUGUGUGGCUCUGGUCCUGGCAGGUACACAGAAGGGCGGGUGUUGCAUUUUUCAGAGCUGUCUUGACCCCCAUAGCUCUGUGCCCUCAUGUGUCCUGCAUGUGGCGUUUGCGGGGAGCUCCUCUUUCCAAAGGCGAGCUCACAGUUGCAGUGCAGUCACUGAUCAUUACAGCACAUCCCCUGCCUUGUUGGGACUGCAGCCAUGGCACUGAAACGCUGAGCCGCUCUAUUCAGAGCCCCAGCACUACAACUUUAGGUCCAAAGUCGGAAGGAAGCAUCUCGCUCCUGCAGAGUAGGCUGUGCGCAGAGCGUGCAGGGUUGUACGCUUGGCUUCCAUCACGGCGGCUGCCCCUGACAUCCACGCUGCGCUGUCUGUGAGAGCCGCAAGCACACCCUUGCUUCCAGCAGCCACCUACAGUGAAACUCCAUUCACAGCCCUGCAGAAUUAGCCCCACGCCUCACUGUGUGGGUCGGGGAAGGCACAAGGCUGCCAUGUCCCUUGGAGAAAACCACCCUGCCUUCCUGGGAUUGGUUGUAAGGAGUUUUCACUGGCCUCCCUUGGGCUGAUGUCGCUUGAGAAAGACUGAAUGUGGUGUGUUGCAUUCAGUUGCAGCAGCACGCCCACGCCUGAUCAUGGCUUUGGGGGCAGAACCGUCUUCUCCCUCACACGCUGUUUGGUGUUAAAAUGGAACCUCUUGGUUGUAUUUUACGUGUCCAUUGGAACCAGCUUCAGAGACAGGAUGCCAUGGUGAAUCGGAAAUAACAUUAUUUCCUUUCUAGGGCGCUGGAGUUCCGGGUGGCAGUGGCGUCUCUCCACCACCCCUCGCCAGCCCGCAUGCUCAGUGUUGUGCAUUGUGCGCUCUGACACAGUGCCGAGCCUGGGAACUGGCCCUGCUGCUUGCCCGCCAGCGGUGCUAGUGAACUCCUGGUGGGGCGUGCUGCUCAGCAAGCUGGGUGCCAUGUCUGCCGGAGUGAGGCGAGGCACAGGGCCCUGGGGCACCAGUGUGUUCCCACAGCCACAGAGCUUUUCGCACUAACUGGAGAUUUCAUAUUUUUAUAUCAAUUAGUAAAAUAAGAAAGUGGAGGAGCAGUCUUCUGAAAUUAGCACCCAGUAUUAAUCUAUAGUAGAGACGAGGUUUGCGUGUAUUCAAAUAGCAAGUGGAGAUUUUUGACAAGUCUAAUGCAAAGUUUUUAUACUUACCUAAUAUCAUGCAAUGGAUUUAGAAGCAAUUUCGUUUUUAUAUCACACAGAGUAAUGCUCUUUUUUGGAAUUCACAGAAUACCUGCUUUGGGACUGUGGUAACUAGCGCGGCAGCUUCGAUGCCUUGGCUGCGCCUUCGUUGGUGCGGUUGCCAGUUAGUGCUGCGGGACCACAGUGAGGUGCAGCUGCCGCACUUGGACUUCCUUCAGCCCAAGUCUCAUUUGGUUGUCAUCAGUUUCUCUGCACCAAAGUUCUGAUGCUUUGCCCUCAUUUCUUUUUGUAUCAGUGAAAGCCACUUGAUGAUUUUUGUUGAUGAUGAGAUCACUACAGAAUAAUAGUCUGGCUUUUUCUUUAUUUGAAUUCAUUUCAAAAUCUGACACCAUUGGCUUUUUUUGACCUGGUUAGAAGUGUUAGUGCACAGGCCUGGAAGAUGGUCUUCAUGUAGCAGGUGACAGACAUCCAAAGGCCAGCCUGUGUACUUCCGUGGGACGUCAUUCGUGCUCACACUCGAACUUCAGGCUUCUGCAAGCCUGCCUUCUGAUAUGGUUGAUUUCAUGACAGAAGGUUGAAGGUUGGGCUAGGAGGCAGGUCUAGGCCAGCGUCAGACCUUCUACAGAUGUUCCCAUUGAACUAACAUGCGCCAGAAGUAUUUAAUACGCUAUCUAAUUUUGUGUUUUGCCUAAAAUUGCCAAAACACAGUAAUGUGUAUAUAGUGGUAUAAGAUCUUGGACAAAAGCUAUAUAUUGUGCUCUUUAUCUGUGAAUGGGAAAAGCCAUUUUUAGUACAUGACUGCCAUUUGAAAAUUCACUUGGAUGUAUAUCUGAAUGUUGCAUUGUAUUGUACAGUAUGCAUAUUAUUGUUUGUGGUUGCAUAUGGCAAUGAAGUGUUUGUUUUAUAUUAAAAAAAAGACAUGUUAUGUACAGUUGAAAUAAAUUUUGCAUUUGCUAGCCCGUGGCUUUUAAUAUUUGUUCCGUGGGGGAGGGGAAGAGCACAGUUUGCCGCUGACACAGCAGGACUUUCCUCCCCAGCACAGCAUCUCCAAGGCGGGCCAGGCCGCAGGCCUGGAGACUCUGCCUCCGGAAAGGAGCUGCGGCUUUCUUAGGCUGGCUGUGCGCUAGAUAACACAGGGCACUCCUGGCCCAUUCUUGUGUUUUAUAUCCCUUUCUUUUUUUAAAACAAAUUUUUAAUCACUGGAAGGUCUGUCUUCAAAAAAGAAUCAUUAUUGGUUUGGGGGCACAAAUGGAAAAAAGCACGACUUUCAAAUUUUUUAAAUUUAAACUAAAGUCAGCAUUUUCCUUUUGUUUUACAAAGUGCAUGCCCAUGACUCAGAAGAGGAAAGCAAGCAGAGUAAAAGGAAGGAAGAAGUCGCUGGUGCAGUGCAGGGCUAGGCUGAGGUGUGGAUGGAGAGCUCUCAGGGAAGAGGCCCGCCUUCUUUCCCUAGGAAGGAAAAGCGGGCUCCAGCCUCAGAGCCGUGGAACAGCAUGGCCUGCGUGGACUUGGAGAGUCUGCCAAGUUCACGCAAAGGAUCUGCUCCACAAGUCUUGCUUCCAGAAGAAGAGAAAAUAAUAGUUGAAGAAACUAAAAGUAACGGUCAGACAGUGAUGGAGGAAAAGAGUCUGGUGGACACAGUGUAUGCGCUGAAGGAUGAAGUCCAGGAGCUACGACAGG